rnacentral:rRNA from 1 species
UACCAGCACCCCGAGUGGUCGGGACGUUUAUUGGGCCUAAAGCAUCCGUAGCCGGUUCUACAAGUCUUCCGUUAAAUCCAGCUGCUUAACAGAUGGGCUGCGGAAGAUACUAUGGAGCUAGGAGGCGGGAGAGGCAAGCGGUACUCGAUGGGUAGGGGUAAAAUCCGUUGAUCCAUUGAAGACCACCAGUGGCGAAGGCGGCUUGCCAGAACGCGCUCGACGGUGAGGGAUGAAAGCUGGGGAAGCAAACCGG